CUGCAACAAUAUCUUCUCUCUCAUCUCUGUAUCUCUUUUCCCCAAAUUUCCCUUAAUCCACGAAACUCAUAACGGAAAAUUUUCUGAAGAUGGUGAAACUGAUCGGCUUAGAUAUGGUUUAUCAUCCAUGCAAGGUUGGCGUACAAUCAUGGAAGAUGCUCAUGCUGCGUAUCCCUAUCUCGAUCUGAGCUAAACAUUCUUUAGAAAUUGAAUGCUAUGACCUGACCUGCUAAGGAGGAUUCACGAUGGAAAUUACAGGCUGUACUUUGCUAAUAUUGGGAUUGGGUCUCCUCCAAAUGACUAUCACAUGCUGAUACAGUGAGUAACAUUCUAUGGGUGAAUUGUAUUGGCUGCAGCAGGUGUCCUAAGAAAAGUGGUUUCGAUAUAGAAAUGACACUAUACAACCUAAAGAGCUCCUCUACUUCAGGUUUGGUUACUUGUGACCAAGCUUUUUGCACUUCCACAUAUGAUGUCUAGCAAUGAUUAGAAAUAAUUGUUAGUAGUGAUUCAAGAGAAAGUAUAGAGUUGCAGAAAAUCAGUUUGAUGUGAAAUAAAGGUAUUGACUUUUGUGAGAAAAAAGUGAAAAAAAAGUAGUUUUGAAAAUAAUUCCCUUAGGGCCCUCAUUUUGAAAUUUCUGAAUGUAAGUGGAGAAGUUUUGGAGUACUUCAUAUGCAACUGCCCCUUUCUUGAACGACUGUGGGUGGAAGGUUCGAAAACUCUUGUCAAUCUGAAAGUUGCUGGUCCAUUGCUCCGCUUGAAGCACUUAGAAAUAUCCCAAUGCUUAAAGUUAGAAAACCUAGAGAUUUCUGCAAAAAAUCUAGUAUCAUUCGUAUACUUUGGGCCAAGAAUAACCAUGCCUUUUAAGUAUGUACCCAACCUUGUUGAAAUGUCUUUGGAGGGCAAUUAUUAUUCAAUCUAUAAAUUCUGCGAGUUUUCAAGUUAUCUUCCACGGCUAGAGACGCUUGUAUUGGAUCUUUCGAAGGUCGAGAAAAAAAAUGAAGCUCCUUGAAUUUCAUACAUUAAGUAAUCUAAAGCAAUUAGAGUUGAUAGCCACUGAAAAAAGUGGUAAUGCAAGCCUUCUUUGGCUGACUUCCCUGUUAAAAGCAGCUCCUGUCUUGUGCAGAUUAACACUAAAGAUAUAGAGAGCAUCGCAAAAGCUAUGGUAUCAAUAGAAUUGGAGUUGGAUUGGGACACAGAGACACGGAUGAGGCAGUGGAUGAGUCUGAAUUGAACUGCGAGAUAUCUUGAACUUUGCUAUUGAAAGUCCUUGAGAGACCAUGUACCUUAACAAUGUCUACUCAAUUUUCACUUUUGUAAUAUUAUGGUAUCAAUUUACUUAUA